GACGAACGCUGGCGGCGCACAUAAGACAUGCAAGUCGAACGGAAGUCGUUGUAAUGAUGUUGAAAAGAACGGAGAACUUGUUCAAAGGAAAUGGAAAUUGACUUACAACAAUGGCUUUAGUGGCGGACUGGUGAGUAACACGUAAGCAACCUGCCUGUUAGAGGGGGAAUAACAGCGAGAAAUCGUUGCUAAUACCGCAUAUGCCAUAAUAGUCACAUGACUAUAGUGGGAAAGGAGUAAUCCGCUAACAGAUGGGCUUGCGUCUGAUUAGAUAGUUGGUGGGGUAACGGCCUACCAAGUCGACGAUCAGUAGCCGGUCUGAGAGGAUGAACGGCCACAUUGGGACUGAGAUACGGCCCAG
rnacentral:rRNA from 1 species